UACGGGGGGAGCAAGCGUUGUUCGGAUUUACUGAGCGUAAAGGGCGCGUAGGCGGCCAGCACAAGUCAGUUGUGAAAAUCUCCGAGCUUAACUCGGAAAGGUCAACUGAUACUGUGCGGCUAGAGUGCGGAAGGGGCAACUGGAAUUCUUGGUGUAGCGGUGAAAUGCGUAGAUAUCAAGAGGAACACCUGCGGCGAAGGCGGGUUGCUGGGCCGACACUGACGCUGAUGCGCGAAAGCUAGGGGGAGCGAACGGG
rnacentral:rRNA from 1 species